GAUAUUGCAAAAGUUGCGUGGGAUGUAGUCGAAUUGUUUAGAAGUGACAUCGGUGCAGCUCGACAAGUCUUCCUCUGAAAAUUCUUAGCUUCCAAA